GAUCGACUCCAGAUCGUCGUUCCUAGGCGGCGCGCAGCGCACUGGCUCGACGGUUGGUCCGAUUCAGCGUCCAACAGGGAGAUAGAGGCAGCAUCAUGUACAUCCGUUGCACCGAUGGGCGGCUAAAACGAUGCUGAUCAAACGAGGCUUUGCUUGAUACGAACGAAAUCGGCGGCGGCGGCGCGGCGGCAUACUCACGGGGCAACCCAUCGUCCAUCUAACCGACGACACGAUCGUCCCCCCAGCGGCGUCAUUGGCAAGCAAGCUUUGGGCUUUACCAUGAUGGCGUCGUAGGCAGCGACCUCUCAUCAGCAGGUCGAUGCGGUGAUUCAUAGGUCACAACGUUAAUCAAUCCUUCAUCCACGGCAUUGAUGAGGCAAGAUUGAUGUGGCAGCUAGCCCGAUGCUGCACAAAACGAUGGUUGCCAACCGCCGUCAGAACAUGUUAACUCCAAUGACUCAAAUGCUUACCUCAACCCUGCAACAAGCUACGUAGAGGGUCUGCGCCAUGGGAAAAAGCCUUUGUUUGGAAACUGUGAUUUAGUGGCAUUAUUUUG